rnacentral:rRNA from 1 species
CGCGUAGGCGGUUUCUUAAGUCAGAGGUGAAAACUGUGGGCUCAACUCACAGCCUGCCUUUGAAACUGGGAGACUUGAGGGCAGGAGAGGGGAGUGGAAUUCCCAGUGUAGCGGUGAAAUGCGUAGAUAUUGGGAGGAACACCAGUGGCGAAGGCGGCUCUCUGGCCUGUUUCUGACGCUGAGGCGCGAAAGCGUGGGGAGCGAACG